rnacentral:ncRNA from 1 species
UCCCCGAUUGAUUCUGUCGGCGGUUAUAUGCUUGUCUCAAAGGCUAAGCCAUGCAUGUCUAAGUUCAAAUAAACCUAUAAUGGUGAAACCGCGAACGGCUCAUUAUAACAGCUAUAAUGUACUUGAUGUUGAUUAUCCAACGUGGAUAACUGUGGCAAUUCUAGAGCUAAUACAUGCACCAAAGCUCCGAAUUUUAAACGAGCGCAUCUAUUAGAUUAAAACCAAUCGGAUUAUUAAUUUUAAUCCGUUAAUUGGUGACUCUGAAUAGCUAUGGCUGAUCGCAUGGUCUUGUACCGGCGACGUAUCUAUCAAGUGUCUGCCUUAUCAACUUUCGAUGGUAGUUUAUGUGCCUACCAUGGUUGUAACGGGUAACGGAGAAUAAGGGUUCGACUCCGGAGAGGGAGCCUGAGAAACGGCUACCACAUCCAAGGAAGCCAGAAAGGGCGCAAAUUACCCACUCUCAGAAUGAGGAGGUAGUGACGAAAAAUAACGAGACCGUUCUCUUUGAGGCCGGUUAUCGGAAUGGGUACAAUUUAAACCUGUUAACGAGGAUCUAUGAGAGGGCAAGUCUGGUGCCAGCAGCCGCGGUAAUUCCAGCUCUCAAAGUGUAUAUCGUCAUUGCUGCGGUUAAAAAGCUCGUAGUUGGAUCUGCGUCUCAGGACCUGGUCCAUCCAUUGGAUGAGAACUAGGCUCCUAGGCUAAUAUUGCCAGUUUUCCCAUACGUUACCUUAAUUGGUUGCAUAUGGUGGCUAGCAAGUUUACCUUGAAAAAAUUAGAGUGCUCAAUGCGGGCUAAUGCCUGAAUACUCGUGCAUGGAAUAAUGAAAUAGGAUCUCGGUUCUAUUUUGUUGGUUUUCUGAUCUGAGAUAAUGGUUAAGAGGGACGGACGGGGGCAUUCGUAUCGCUGCGUGAGAGGUGAAAUUCUUGGACCGUAGCGAGACGUACGACUGCGAAAGCAUUUGCCAAGAAUGUCUUCAUUAAUCAAGAACGAAAGUCAGAGGUUCGAAGGCGAUCAGAUACCGCCCUAGUUCUGACCGUAAACGAUACCAACUAGCGUUCCGUCGGCGGUAAAUACGCCUUGACGGGCAGCUUCCCGGAAACGAAAGUUUUUCGGUUCC